rnacentral:rRNA from 1 species
GUAGUCCACGCCGUAAACGAUGGAUACUGGCUGUCGGAAGUAUCGACCCUUUCGGUAGCGAAGCUAACGCGUUAAGUAUCCCGCCUGGGGAGUACGGCCGCAAGGCUAAAACUCAAAGGAAUUGACGGGGACCCGCACAAGCGGUGGAGCGUGUGGUUUAAUUCGAGGCUACGCGAAGAACCUUACCAAGGUUUGACAUCCUCCGAAGGUCCCAGAAACGGGACUGUGCCCCUCAAGGCGCAGGACUUUUAGUCGUGCGUUUCGAGGGGAGCGGAGUGACAGGUGAUGCAUGGCCGUCGUCAGCUCGUGUCGUGAGAUGUUAGGCUAAG